rnacentral:rRNA from 1 species
UGGGGAAUAUUGCACAAUGGGCGCAAGCCUGAUGCAGCCAUGCCGCGUGUGUGAAGAAUGCCUUCGGGUUGUAAAGCACUUUCAGCGGGGAGGAAGGCGUUAAGGUUAAUAACCUUUGCUCAUUGACGUUACCCGCAGAAGAAGCACCGGCUAACUCCGUGCCAGCAGCCGCGGUAAUACGGAGGGUGCAAGCGUUAAUCGGAAUUACUGGGCGUAAAGCGCACGCAGGCGGUUUGUUAAGUCAGAUGUGAAAUCCCCGGGCUCAACCUGGGAACUGCAUCUGAGACUGGAAAGCUUGAGUCUCGUAGAGGGGGGUAGAAUUCCAGGUGUAGCGGUGAAAUGCGUAGAGAUCUGGAGAACUACCGGUGGCGAAGGCGGCCACCUGGACGAAGACUGACGCUCAGGUGCGAAAGCGUGGGGAGCAAACAGG